rnacentral:ncRNA from 1 species
UAAGCCUGAGGCCGGCACCGUCGGCCAUGGGAAUGAUGGUCUGCACAGAACCUUUACCAAAAGACUGGGUCCCAAGGAUGAGGGCCCUUUUAUGAUCCUGCAAUGCUCCGGCAACAAUCUCCGAUGCGGAGGCAGUGCCGCCGUUAAUCAAAAUGACUAUAGGGAAAUCGUAUUCCGUUCCACCGCUGUGUGCAGAAAAUUCCAUAUUCUGGUCUUGUAGCCGUCCUUUGGUUGAGACAAUGAUGCCUUCAUCCAGGAAAAUAUCAACAAUCUUAACCGAAGAAUCCAGAAGACCCCCCGGGUUAUUGCGCAA